rnacentral:rRNA from 1 species
GAACGCUAGCGGCAGGCUUAACACAUGCAAGUCGAGGGGCAGCAUAAUGGAUAGCAAUAUCUAUGGUGGCGACCGGCGCACGGGUGCGUAACGCGUAUGCAACCUACCUUUAACAGGGGGAUAACACUGAGAAAUUGGUACUAAUACCCAAUGACGUCUCUAGAAGACAUCUGAAAGAGAUUAAAGAUUUAUCGGUGAUGGAUGGGGAUGCGUCUGAUUAGCUUGUUGGCGGGUAACGGCCCACCAAGGCGACGAUCAGUAGGGGUUCUGAGAGGAAGGUCCCCCACAUUGGAACUGAGACACGGUCCAAACUCCUACGGGAGGCAGCAGUGAGGAAUAUUGGUCAAUGGACGAGAGUCUGAACCAGCCAAGUAGCGUGCAGGAUGACGGCCCUAUGGGUUGUAAACUGCUUUUAUAAGGGAAUAAAGUGGGAGUCGUGACUCUUUUUGCAUGUACCUUAUGAAUAAGGACCGGCUAAUUCCGUG